CGUAGGCGGUCUUUUAAGUCAGGUGUGAAAGCCCGGGGCUCAACCCCGGAAGUGCACUUGAAACUAAGAGACUUGAGUAUGGGAGAGGGAAGUGGAAUUCCUGGUGUAGCGGUGAAAUGCGUAGAUAUCAGGAGGAACAUCGGUGGCGAAGGCGACUUCCUGGACCAAUACUGACGCUGAGGCGCGAAGGCGUGGGGAGCAAACA
rnacentral:rRNA from 1 species